AUUCUUGGAGAGAUUGUCUCUCAGAAACUCUGUCAGUCUUGCCGGUCACUGAAAGGCAAGGACUGACUGGGCUCUUCACCAACUGAGCCCUUGCAAAGAACUGUCUUUGAAGAUCACCCGUGUCCUUCAUUGGAAGGCAAAAAAAGUACUGUGUCUGCUGUUUAGACCUUCACUGCAGUAAAGAUUCUCCCUCCCUGGACUUAGUCCAGGGAGGGGGGACAGAGCAGACGCAGAAUCUAGAGGUGAGCUGAGACACGGUCACUGUUCCACUUAUCCAC